GGGCUAUGGACAGAGAGGGGAGUCAAGAAGAGCUUCCAGGGGAAGCAUUCCAGGUGGAGGCCCAGGAAAGGACAAUGACGGAAAUGUUGGAGCCCACACAUACUGACAGGCAUGGGACGACUAGGUGUCAAGCUGUGGCACUGAGGAAGCUCCCUUUAAAGCAGAAACAGUGAGUGAAGUUGAGCCCUGGCAGCAACCACUGACAACUGAAGGAUGGCUGAACAGACCAAGAGCAGUCAGGACAGGAGGACGGCAGAAAAUAGAAAGACAAUGACAGAGUGGGUUAUAAACAGCCAGAGCAGAGAGCUUGCGGUCCUGGCUACAAGAAGACCUCCAGAGAACUGUCGAGUCUGCCAAGUCCAAAGGGCUCACACCCAAGGCUGACAGCUCUAACACCGGCCAUAUCCCAGGCCCAAGGGUCCCACUGCUGAAGUCUUGUGUGGAAAUGGGACAACAAGAACUGAGUGCCAGUGUUGCACACCACAGGCCGCCCUUGGACAUUUCCUGCGGCCAAAUUAGACAAGUUGGCUGUGUUUCCUGUCUGAGGUCACAUCUGGGGACAGCCCAGGACCACACCUCACCACCUCAGGUGCCAACAGUCAGUAAGCAGAGGCUCCACCCAGGUAGGAAGCCUAG
rnacentral:lncRNA from 1 species